rnacentral:sRNA from 1 species
AAUAUGUAGCCUCUAGCCUCUUGG